rnacentral:lncRNA from 1 species
CACGCCACUGCACUCCAGCCUGGGUGACAGAGAGAGACUCUGUCUCAAAUAAAUAACUAUCAUCCUGGCCAUCAGUUUCAAGGGCGCUUCAAGCAGAGAAACUGGAGGCCAGGAGACCCGCCCAGACACUGCUAUAAUAGACCAGGCAGGAGAAACUGGAGCUGUGGAAAUGGAGAGGGGAGGGACAAGCCCCAAAUUUGACCCUGUGAAUCCCAGCUCCUGUUUAUCAGAAGGAAGCCGGCCCAGUAGGUGAAUAAAAGGAUUAUGAGCAAAUCUAACGCUCUGGGGUGGAGAGCAGGAGGCAGUAAGGUGCCUACUGUGUGCCACAUACCCUACUGAGUGCUGUGACCUAGCAGUGAAGUUGUCACCUUGGGGGUACAUGUUCUAUAUCUCCCCAUCGUCUGAAGUGGGCACCCUCCAUUUCACAGAUGGGAAAAUCGAGGCUCGGCAGGAUAUAGUGACCUGCUCCUGGGCCCAUGGCUUGUAGGUGACAGCCGAAAGUUGAACCCAGGUCUCCCUGGCUCCCAGCUCAUGUUCUUCUCCUUGUCUCUGGGGCUCUAAUCUCUCCAAGGAAAACAACCCCAGCCCCAUGAGCCACAGAACCAUGGGCUCCCUGGGCCCCCCAGAAGCCCAAAAGUGACCAUGGGGGGUGAUGAGACAGCAGCGUUUGUAAUUAGCCCCGUGGCUGAACCGAAGACCUCCCACCAGGAUCCAGCCAGAGCCCGUCUCUGGGGAAGGCGGGUGGGGAUUAAGUUCUCAGAAGAGGAUUUGGGCUCCCGAGUGCCUGUGUGGCUUCCUCUGAGCCUCGCAGGGACUCUGCCUUGAUCACAGCGCCAGGGCCUUUUCUGGCUUCUCAGCAGUCUGUGUGAACCUUCAGAUGGGGUGGGCACACGUGGCACCCCCAGCCAAGCAGGGGACGGGCCGGACUCGGUCCUCCAGUGUCACCUCUCCCUCCUGCCACUGGAACCGAGGCUUAGAAUCACUGAGGCGGUGGGAACAUAGCUGUGGGCACAAGAGUGGACAUUUCUACGGCGUUCCCUGCUGACCAGGCGCUGUUCUCACGUGCCUCACAGCACACAUUAACUCAUCUUCCCCGCAACCAGCCCUGGAGGGCAGGGACUGUGAUUUUCCCCAUUUUACAGAUGAAGAAACAGAAGCAGAAAUGUUUAAACUUAUGGGAAGAUACACCACUAACAAGGGCUGGAGCCAGGACUCUAGCCAUGCAGUGUGGCUGCAGAGUACAGGAUUUUAAUCACCCGUUGCAUCCUCUGGCGUCGGGCAGGGCUGGACUUCAGGCUGGGUUUUCCCCGUUCCCAGCUGCACCCACGUCGUGUCUCCUCCUGGAGUCUAAGUUUCCUGUGCUGUGACUGCAGGCGGAGAGGAGGGCCCAACGUCUAGGGGAUUUCAUGCUGCAUCUAGAAGCCAAAACGCUGACACCCCUUGAAAAGGAGGGCUGGGAACUGAGAUGAUUGACGCCCCAAGGGGAAGCGGGCGCUUCCCAGAACAGCCUCGGCAUGACCUGGACAUGGAGCCAGGCGGCUGCUCCUUGCCCAACCCAUGGGGGCCUUGCAAUGAUUAAUAAUAAUAAUGAUGAUGAUAAUGG